GGUGAAGAGGAUUAUACCAAUUGUCACAAGCAUAUGCCAAUAGCAGUAACAUGGGGAGUUUUCCCUGGGAAGGAAAUAAUCCAGCCAACAGUGGUAGAUCCUGUUAGUUUUAAAGUAUGGAAGGAUGAAGCAUUUGGACUGUGGACAGAACAGUGGGCCAAGCUUUACCCUGAGAACUCACCUUCUCGGCAACUGUUAUACUCUGUUAGUCAGAACUAUUACUUAGUUAAUCUAGUGGACAACGAUUUCCCUAAAGAAACUUGUUUGUGGGAGAUCCUGGAGGCUAUGUUUGAGAAACGGAAUGAAGUGGAACAGAACUCAAACACUGUUUCAAGCCAAACAGAUAAAACAUCUAAUUGAAAACUGUACAUAAAAUUUUCACAAUGAACAGGAAAACACCUUCUGGAGGGUCUUCAAUACUGUCACUUCUUUUCCCAGAGAUAUGCAGGUACCCUGCUCCAAAUAAUAUAAAUGAUUCAGGGUAAUAGAAGUUUUUUUCUUCAGAGAUUGUGGCCAUUGUGAAGUAAUUAAUAUUUGAAGAUUAAACAAAUUUAAUUAAACAGAAAGUCAUUUAAAUACCAUUUAAACAAUUUUGUGUAUAAACAGGACUCUAAUUUUGGAUGCAGAGAAAUAUAUCAUCUCAAGCUAAUGUGAGGAAUUUGUCAUUUUCCUUAACUAAAGUCCACUGAUUGCUAAUAAAGUGAUUCAACUUUAAUUUUGGUGAAUGUCUUUACUCAGAAAAGCAUAAUUUUUUCUUGGAGAUUCUAUGAUUCUAUUACCUUAUUAAAAUUCAACUUAUAAAUUUUUUUAAUAAAAAUUGGUAAUCCUUAAACAUAAAUCCUGUAUAAGUAGUGUUAACAAGCUUUUUAAGCGAUAUGAUCCUCUUGGAAAGUUACUGAACCUUUUAAUUCGGCAAUAAAUGCUGUUUUUAAUGAAAUAAA